rnacentral:tRNA from 1 species
GCCAGUGUGGCACAAUCCGGUACUGCGGUAGUCUCGAAAACUACUCCCUCUGGGAUUCUCGGUUCAAAUCCGAGCACUGGCG